rnacentral:lncRNA from 1 species
GGUAGAUUGCCCUAAACCCGAAAUCUCAUCUUUCAUUCUCAAAAACAAUACCCAAUACCCAAAAUCCCAUCUUAUUGUUGUUGAUGGUGUUCUUCGCCAGUUUCACUUGGAUAUCAAAAUUUUGGGAAAGCUGAAGGAAAUGUCGAGAAGAAUUGGGGGUCCGAGAAGAAUUGAUAAAUGUCGAAGAAUCACGGGCAUUGGUUUGAAGAAGCUGCGGCGCGAUUACGGGAUUCUGUUAGAGUAUUGUGCUUGA